GAUGAACGCUGGCGGCGUGCCUAAUACAUGCAAGUCGAGCGAACGGACGAGAAGCUUGCUUCUCUGAUGUUAGCGGCGGACGGGUGAGUAACACGUGGAUAACCUACCUAUGAGACUGGGAUAACUUCGGGAAACCGGAGCUAAUACCGGAUAAUAUUUUGAACCGCAUGGUUCAAAAGUGAAAGACGGUCUUGCUGUCACUUAUAGAUGGAUCCGCGCUGCAUUAGCUAGUUGGUAAGGUAACGGCUUACCAAGGCAACGAUGCAUAGCCGACCUGAGAGGGUGAUCGGCCACACCGGAACUGAGACACGGUCCAGACUCCUACGGGAGGCAGCAGUAGGGAAUCUUCCGCAAUGGGCGAAAGCCUGACGGAGCAACGCCGCGUGAGUGAUGAAGGUCUUCGGAUCGUAAAACUCUGUUAUUAGGGAAGAACAUAUGUGUAAGUAACUGUGCACAUCUUGACGGUACCUAAUCAGAAAGCCACGGCUAACUACGUGCCAGCAGCCGCGGUAAUACGUAGGUGGCAAGCGUUAUCCGGAAUUAUUGGGCGUAAAGCGCGCGUAGGCGGUUCUUUAAGUCUGAUGUGAAAGCCCACGGCUCAACCGUGGAGGGUCAUUGGAAACUGGAAAACUUGAGUGCAGAAGAGGAAAGUGGAAUUCCAUGUGUAGCGGUGAAAUACGCAGAGAUAUGGAGGAACACCAGUGGCGAAGGCGACUUUCUGGUCUGUAACUGACGCUGAUGCGCGAAAGCGUGGGGAUCAAACAGGAUUAGAUACCCUGGUAGUCCACGCCGUAAACGAUGAGUGCUAAGUGUUAGGGGGUUUCCGCCCCUUAGUGCUGCAGCUAACGCAUUAAGCACUCCGCCUGGGGAGUACGACCGCAAGGUUGAAACUCAAAGGAAUUGACGGGGACCCGCACAAGCGGUGGAGCAUGUGGUUUAAUUCGAAGCAACGCGAAGAACCUUACCAAAUCUUGACAUCCUUUGACAACUCUAGAGAUAGAGCCUUCCCCUUCGGGGGACAAAGUGACAGGUGGUGCAUGGUUGUCGUCAGCUCGUGUCGUGAGAUGUUGGGUUAAGUCCCGCAACGAGCGCAACCCUUAAGCUUAGUUGCCAUCAUUAAGUUGGGCACUCUAAGUUGACUGCCGGUGACAAACCGGAGGAAGGUGGGGAUGACGUCAAAUCAUCAUGCCCCUUAUGAUUUGGGCUACACACGUGCUACAAUGGACAAUACAAAGGGCAGCGAAACCGCGAGGUCAAGCAAAUCCCAUAAAGUUGUUCUCAGUUCGGAUUGUAGUCUGCAACUCGACUACAUGAAGCUGGAAUCGCUAGUAAUCGUAGAUCAGCAUGCUACGGUGAAUACGUUCCCGGGUCU
rnacentral:rRNA from 1 species